rnacentral:rRNA from 1 species
AAAGGGUGUGUAGGCGGGUAUUUAAGUCAGUGGUGAAAUCUCCGAGCUCAACUCGGAAACUGCCAUUGAUACUAUUUAUCUUGAAUAUUGUUGAGGUAGGCGGAAUAUGUCAUGUAGCGGUGAAAUGCUUAGAUAUGACAUAGAACACCGAUUGCGAAGGCAGCUUGCUAAACAAUUAUUGACGCUGAGGCACGAAAGCGUGGGGAUCAAACAGGAUUAGAUACCCGAGU